GUCUCUGUAGCUUAACGGAUAGAGCAUUGGGUUCCGAACUCAAAGGCUGGAGGUUCGACCCCUCCCAGAGACA
rnacentral:tRNA from 1 species